GACGAACGCUGGCGGCGUGCCUAAUACAUGCAAGUCGAACGCACUCUCGUUUAGAUUGAAGGAGCUUGCUCCUGAUUGAUAAACAUUUGAGUGAGUGGCGGACGGGUGAGUAACACGUGGGUAACCUGCCCUAAAGUGGGGGAUAACAUUUGGAAACAGAUGCUAAUACCGCAUAAAACCUAACACCGCAUGGUGUAGGGUUGAAAGAUGGUUUCGGCUAUCACUUUAGGAUGGACCCGCGGUGCAUUAGUUAGUUGGUGAGGUAAAGGCUCACCAAGACCGUGAUGCAUAGCCGACCUGAGAGGGUAAUCGGCCACACUGGGACUGAGACACGGCCCAGACUCCUACGGGAGGCAGCAGUAGGGAAUCUUCCACAAUGGACGAAAGUCUGAUGGAGCAACGCCGCGUGAGUGAAGAAGGUUUUCGGAUCGUAAAACUCUAGUUGUUGGAGAAGAAUGUAUCUGAUAGUAACUGAUCAGUAGUGACGGUAUCCAACCAGAAAGCCACGG
rnacentral:rRNA from 1 species